UAGGGAAUCUUCGGCAAUGGGGGGAACCCUGACCGAGCAACGCCGCGUGAGUGAAGAAGGUUUUCGGAUCGUAAAGCUCUGUUGUUAAGGAAGAACGAGUGUGAGAAUGGAAAGUUCAUACUGUGACGGUACUUAACCAGAAAGGGACGGCUAACUACGUGCCAGCAGCCGCGGUAAUACGUAGUUCCCGAGCGUUGUCCGGAUUUAUUGGGCGUAAAGCGAGCGCAGGCGGUUAGAUAAGUCUGAAGUUAAAGGCAGUGGCUCAACCAUUGUAGGCUUUGGAAACUGUUUAACUUGAGUGCAGAAGGGGAGAGUGGAAUUCCAUGUGUAGCGGUGAAAUGCGUAGAUAUAUGGAGGAACACCGGUGGCAAAAGCAGCUCUCUGGUCUGUAACUGACGCUGAGGAUCGAAAGCGUGGGGAGCGAACAGG
rnacentral:rRNA from 1 species